rnacentral:rRNA from 1 species
UUACUUUGAAACUGCGAAUGGCUCAUUAUAUCAGUUAUAGUUUAUUUGAUAGUCCCUCACUACUUGGAUAACCGUAGUAAUUCUAGAGCUAAUACAUGCGUCGAUACCCUUCUGGGGUAGUAUUUAUUAGAUGGAAACCAACCCCUUCGGGGUGAUGUGGUGAUUCAUAAUAAGUUUGCGGAUCGCCGGUGGCGAUGGAUCAUUCAAGUUUCUGCCCUAUCAGCUUUGGACGGUAAGGUAUUGGCUUACCGUGGCUUUAACGGGUAACGGGGAAUUAGGGUUCGAUUCCGGAGAGUGAGCCUGAGAAACGGCUACCAC